rnacentral:rRNA from 1 species
AAUUUUAAGAGUUUGAUCCUGGCUCAGGAUUAACGCUAGCGGGAUGCCUAAUACAUGCAAGUCGAACGAAGCACUUGUGCUUAGUGGCGAACGGGUGAGUAACACGUAUCUAACAUACCUUUUAGUGGGGGAUAACUGGUUGAAAAACUAGCUAAUACCGCAUAGGACAUUAUUAUUGCAUGAGAAAAUGUUUAAAGUUGCGUUUGCAACGCUUUAAGAUUGAGGUGCGGCAUAUCAGAUAGUUGGUAGGGUAAUGGCCUACCAAGUCUAUGACGUGUAGCUGUGCUGAGAGGCAAAACAGCCACAAUGGAACUGAGACACGGUCCAUACUUCUACGGGAGGCAGCAGUAGGGAAUUUUUCACAAUGGGCGAAAGCCUGAUGGAGCAAUCCCGCGUGAACGAUGAAGGUUUUUUAAAUUGUAAAGUUCUUUUAUUGGGGACGAAUUGUAGGAAGAGGAAAUGCUUUCUAUUUGACUGUACCCUUUGAAUAAGUAUCGGCUAACUAUGUGCCAGCAGCCGCGGUAAUACAUAGGAUGCAAGCGUUAUCCGGAUUUACUGGGCGUAAAGCGAGCGCAGGCGGAUUUACAAGUCUGGUGUUAAAUAUAGCUGCCCAACAGUUAUAUGCAUUGGAAACUGUAAGUCUAGAGUGCAGUAGAGAGUUUUGGAACUCCAUGUGGAGCGGUGGAAUGCGUAGAUAUAUGGAAGAACACCAGAGGCGAAGGCGAAAACUUAGGCUGUAACUGACGCUUAGGCUCGAAAGUGUGGGGAGCAAAUAGGAUUAGAUACCCUAGUAGUCCACACCGUAAACGAUGGUAAUUAAAUCUUGGUGCGGGAUGUAUCAGGAUUGCAGUUAACACAUUAAAUUACCCGCCUGAGUAGUACAUUCGCAAGAAUGAAACUCAAACGGAAUUGACGGGGACCCGCACAAGUGGUGGAGCAUGUUGCUUAAUUCGACGAUACACGUAAAACCUUACCUGGGUUUGACAUCCUUUGCAAAGCUAUAGAGAUAUAGUGGAGGUUAACAAAGUGACAGGUGGUGCAUGGUUGUCGUCAGCUCGUGUCGUGAGAUGUUGGGUUAAGUCCCGCAACGAGCGCAACCCUUAU